GACGAACGCUGGCGGCGUGCUUAACACAUGCAAGUCGAACGGUAAAGCGCCUUCCUCUUUGGCGGGUGUGGAUGAGGGGCGAACGGGUGAGUAACACGUGAGUAACCUGCCCCCUCCUGGUGGAUAACCGCGUGAAAGUGUGGCUAAUACGGGAUAUUCCGGGUCUGUCGCAUGAUGGGUUUGGGAAAGAUUUUGUUUCGGUGGGGGACGGGCUCGCGGCCGAUCGGGUUGUGGGUGGGGUGAUAGCCUAGCGAGGCGGUGGCGAGUAGCCGGCCAGGGAGGGUGACCGGUCAUACAGGUGAGGAGAGGCGGCGAAGACUCCUGCGGGAGGCAGCAGUGACUAAUAGUGAACGGGGGGCGGAAGGAUGAUGCAGCAACGCCGCGGGAGGGAUGGAGGUCUGCGGGUUGAGAACUUCUGUCGCGAGAGAAGCAGAGCUGCUUCAUUUGUGGGUGUUUUGACGGUAGCUGGAGAAGAAGCGCCGGCUAACUACGUG
rnacentral:rRNA from 1 species